UGGGGAAUAUUGGACAAUGGGGGCAACCCUGAUCCAGCAAUGCCGCGUGUGUGAAGAAGGUCUUCGGAUUGUAAAGCACUUUCGACGGGGACGAUAUGACGGUACCCGUAGAAGAAGCCCCGGCUAACUUCGUGCCAGCAGCCGCGGUAAUACGAAGGGGGCUAGCGUUGCUCGGAAUGACUGGGCGUAAAGGGCGUGUAGGCGGUUUACACAGUCAGAUGUGAAAUCCCCGGGCUUAACCUGGGAGCUGCAUUUGAUACGUGUAGACUAGAGUGUGAGAGAGGGUUGUGGAAUUCCCAGUGUAGAGGUGAA
rnacentral:rRNA from 1 species